ACGGCUAUAUAACGUUGAAAAACCGGUUCCCAAACGACCACCGAAGUUAAGCAAAGUCUGGCCUGGUUAGUACCUAGGUGGGUGACCGGUUGGGAAUACCAUGUGCUGUAAG